GAGCAAGUGUGGUGUAGUGAUUUGAGCACUAGAUUAUAACUCUGGAGAUUAGGGUUUGAUUCCCUGCUUGGCCA